AUAUAUUCAGCAAAAGCACCUUGAUGAUGUUGUCCUAUUACACCCAAAUUUUCACAUUGUGCAAAUUUAGCUUUUUUACAGGAAUCACAUUUUCCACAAUAAAGUGCUGGAC
rnacentral:antisense_RNA from 1 species